AACUUUGAAUGUCUUGUGGCUGCUACUCUGGGGCCAGGCCAGCAGUGAAAAAACAGACAGGAAACCCCCUAUGCUAGACCUUGUAUUCACGUGGACUCAGGUUUUAUCCUGAGUUGGAUGGAGGUUCAUUCAUUCAUUGAUUCAAGAUAAGGUUGAUUUAAAUUAGGAAUGACAAAUGUGUUUUCCUCUGGAAUGAAUGACCUUCAAGGUCAGACUGGCACAACAUUCUAUUGCUUGUGUCAGAGAUGUUUUAGAAGCCACAGUAGGGGCUAUCUCUUCUUUCAUCUUUCAAUCCCCAGAACUUGGCAUAUAAAUACAGCACUCAGAGAAUUUUUGCUAAAUGAAUAGGUGAAAUGAUUCCAACAAAUGAUGAAUAUCUACUUCCCGUUUCUCACUUGAAGCCAAAGUGUUUACGGAUAGGAGUUACUGUCCUCUUCUGUGCUGGAAAUUUUACUUUGCCGAAGUGCAUAGUAAUGAAUAAUACAGGAGAUGAGGAUCCAAAGGAAUAUUUAAGGAGAUGAAAUAAUGUUAGAAGUGUGAAUAUGAAAUUGUUUCUUAGCUGAGGUAUGGCAUCCAAAUAAUUCAUCCAUCCAUUCUCUCUAGCCAGGAAGAUUCACCGCCUCCCCCAGUCAGUCACCCUUUAAUAAAAGCUUAUCUUUCUAUCAGGUUAUAAGCUAUGAGAGGCAAGAUUCAUUUCAAACAUACUGAAUUAAUCUUAGUUUUCUUGGGAGGUGUUUGUUAAUAAGCCUAUUAACAUUCCAUCUUUGUAGACGGGUUCUGUCAGGCAUAAAGCCAAGCUCCGUAGGCUUUGUGGGCCAGCUGAGAGUAAAGGACCAGCAUGAAUAGAGCCUGGCUCUCCACCUGGAGUUAAUCCAACUUGUUUCAGCGUGGCAUCUGAUGUCCCCAUCGAAAAUUACUCUCUUUUGCCUUCCCCCAUUCUUCACUCUGGUUACUCGUUGAAAUGUAGGUUAUCAUCCCAAAGAGCUUGGGUCACACUUUAGAGCCUGGGUGACACUUAACCAUAAACUCACUUUGACUGUUAGGGCAGCUUCAGUCAGAGUUACCAGGAACUAAGUAGAAAUGAAACGCUGAUUCCAUCAAUUUGUUAGGUGAUGCCAGAGAGUCAACAAAAGAGUUGAUGAGGGAGGGAAAGGAGUAUCAGUGGUUGGUUAAUAGAUCUCAUGUAGAAAAAAGAAUAAGAACCUUUUAAAAAUCUGUUUCAAAUGUGUCAAAAUGGCUUUAGCUAAGAUUAAUAUGUACAUACAUAUCUAUAAUACAUGUAUAUUUUUUAAAAUGUUAACAUAUUGACCAUAGUUCUAAAGGUUUUUAUAGACCAGUUAAGUUUUAAACUUUUCUGAAUAUGAAUAGGAAACUACUUAGUAAGAAACAUUUUACAGCCGAAACCGUACACAGGUGUGUGUGUGUGUGUUUGCACGCGUGUGUGUAUACACACACACACACACACACACACUAGAGGCCCGAUGCACAAAAUUUGUGCAAGCGGCCUCAGCCCUCGCAGCCCUUGCUGCCUCGGGGGCUCUGUCCAGAAGGUUGUCUGGAUGGUCAUUCUGCUGUUCAGUCUAAUUAGCAUAUUAGCUCUUUAUUAUAUAGGAUAUAUUUGUGUGUGUGUGUAUAUAUAUACACAUACAUACACACACAUAUACUUUUUAUGUAACUGAAACCAUGGUUUUUAAAAUACAUUAUUCUGACACAUUCCAUUCACUUUAUUUUUUAUCAUGUGAUCGUUGCUCACUAAAUUGAUUUUAUUACCUACUAAUGAGUUGAAACCUAGUCAAUUAAUGAGUUGAAAUCCACAGUCAUGGAGCAACUUGAUAUUUGUUGUUUAUAGAUAGGCAAAGUAUGAAUACUUGACAUGCUGAAUAAUUAUAACAUUUUUAGAGUUAAAAGUGAUUCAAACCACAAGCCUUAGAAUAAUAAGAGCAUCUUAAAGUUACAAGGGACAUUAGAUCUCAUCAACCCUCUCAUGUUAGAGAAGAGGAUCGGGAUCAGAAUUAGACAGAUAUACUCCUAAACAUAGUGAAGACUAUACGGGAGAUUCACUUCACCCUAUGCUGUGCUCCAUGAAGUCUUCCACUGGGAGACAACAGUCAGAGCCAUCAUGUUGGUUACAGUGUGGUAAAAAUUAGGGUUCAAGCCAUACCAUGAUGUCCUUGGCUUUGCUCCUGGCUAACAGGCAGGCAGUGCUGCUUGGCGCUUACAGCCCUAAAAUACUGCUUUUCUUUGACAAGCCUGAAGGAAAGUCAAAAUAUGGAUGUUGGAGAUUGCACUGUCAUUUUAAGUUGACAAAGCUCAUAACUGAACCAUAAGUUAUAAUUGAAGUAAUUAUGGUAAAGAAGAAUAUGUACGUAGGUUGGUGGUUUGAUCUUGAUUUUAUAGUAAGGGAAAAUGGGCUAGAAAGUGACAGGGUAUCCAGAAGUAAUGAUUGGUAAGAGUACUGAGUGGCUUCUGAAAGCUAUUGUCUGAGUUGAGACCUGAGUAACAUAAAGGAACUAGCCAUGAAAAUCAGAAAAAAGUGCAGUCCUGACUCAUAGAACCAUAUUUUGACAAAUAAUAAGUUUGUCAAACUUAUUCUCAAAAGUUCCCAUCGUAGCCAUUGGUUUGAGUGUAGAUAAAUUUCCCUUUGCACAACUGAGCUCAGUAAAGAGUGGCCUUUAACUUGUAAAGACUUAAUUAUACCCUUUCAAGGUUCUAUUUAAAGGAAAAGAGGCUACACAAAAUUAACUCAAACUGGAUUAAUAUUUGAGACAGUAAGACCCGAAACAUUAAACUCUUCGAAGAAAACAAAGACAAUAAGCUUCGUGACAUUGGUCUUGGCAAUGAUUUUUUAAACCUGACACCAAAAGCAAAAGCAACAACAGCAAAAAUAAGUGGGUCUGCAUCAAACUGAAAAGCUUCUGCAUAGCAAAGGAAACAGUCAACAAAAUGAAAGAGCAACCUACCGAAUAGGAGAAAAUAUUUGCAAAUUAUAUAUCUGACAAGGGGUUAAUAUCCAAAAUACAUAAAAAACUAAUACAACUCAAUAGUAAAAAAAAAAAAAAAUCCAAUUAAAAAACAGGCAAAAGAUCUGAAUAGAUAUUUUUCCAAAGAAGACAUGCACGUGACUAACAGAUACAAGAAGAGAUGCUUCACCAGGGAAAUGCAAUCAGAACCACACACACCUGUUGGAAUGGUUGUUCUCAGAAAGAUAAUAACAAGUACAGUGGGGCCUUGUCUUACGAGUGUCCUGACUAAGGAGUUUUUUGAGAUACCAGCUGUCUCUCGGCUGAUUUUUUGCUUUGAGUUGACAGAGUAAUUUGAGUUAACGAGCUCCUUAACGAGCUCGGUCUUAGAAUGAAUAAAACUCAAACUCGUAAGUCAAGGCCGCACUGUAUUGGUGAGGAUAUGGAGAAAAGGAAACCCUUUGUCACUAUUGAUAGAAGUGUAAAUUGAACAUCCAUAUGAUCCAGCAAUUCUACUUCUGGGUAUUUGAAGAAAACAAAAACACUAUCUCAAAAAGAUAUCUGCACCCCCAUGUUCAUUGUAGCAUUAGUUAAAAUAGCCAAGAUAUGGAACAACCUACGUGUCUGUCAGUGGAUGAACAAAUAAAGAAAAUGUGUAUAAUAAUAAAAAAUUAUUAGCCAUAAAAAAUGAAUUCUGCCCUGGCCUGGUGAUUCAACUGAUUGGAGCUUUGUUCUGUGCACCAAAAGGUUGCAGGUUCAGUUCCCAGUCAGGGCACCUACCUUGAUUGCCUACCAGUGGUUCUCAACCUAUGGGUCGUGACCCCUGAAAAUACAUCCUGCAUAUCAGAUAUUUAUGUUACAAUUCAUAACAGUAGCAAAAUUACAGUUAUGAAGUAGUAACAAAGAUAAUUUUAUGGUUGGGGGUCACCACAACAUGAGGAACUGUAUUAAAGGGUCGCGGCAUUAGGAAAGUUGAGAACCACUGGAUCCGAUCCCUGAUGGGGGAGGUAGCCAAUUGAUGUUUCUCUCAUACAUCAGUGUUUCUCCUUUCCUCUCUCUCUAAAAACUAAAUACAUAAACACAUAUCCUUGGGUGAGGAUUAAAGAAAAAAAAGAAUGAAUUCUUGCCAUUUGCAGACAACAUAGAUAGACUUCAA